UGAGACGUCCUUUGCCUCGAGCCUGGCUUUACGCGGUACUCCGCGAAUGAUUGAUUCGAGACCGAGUCGGGUGGAUAGUUGAUAAAGGUAAAUGAGACCCUAUGAUCAGAAUUGUAAUUGUUAUGAGUUUAAAAUAGAGAAAUAACUUCGAGGUCAAUUGAAUGAGCUAUGAAUAACAGGAUUAAAGUAGUAUCGAUUGAACUACUAAUUGGUUGCAUAAAUCGCAUGAUUUUCAUAUUGCAUGGUUGUGAGGUAUGACAUGUAUUUCAAUUAUCGCAUAUAUAUAUGUAUCUGUUGGAUAUUUGUUGGACUAACAUGUUGUAGUGCCUCUAUUGGACCUAUUGGUCGAGCUUUUCCCUUGGGUCGCCGUACCCACUGGGAACCAUGGAGUUGGUUCUCACCCCACGUUAUUUUGGGGUAUUACAGGUUCACACGUGAGCAGCGCAGCGGCGCGAGGCGAGGGCGUAGCUCCAUAGUUAGCGCCCUACCACCGAGACCAGAGAUAGCGGUACCCCGAGUCAGCCUAGCUAGGGGUGUAGAAGAAAAGAAAAGGAAAGAAUAAACAAUAUUGUAAUAAUUUUGAUUGUAUUUGGAAGUUAAAUGUAAAAUGUAAUAGUGAUGUAAAGUAUGUCUAGUGAAUGUGAAUGCUUGUAAUAACAAGUAGAUUAUGUUUUUGAUACUUCCUUAUACAAUCUUUAAUUGAAAUGUGUUCCUGGUUGGAACUUUGUACAUUGUAUUGAUUGCGACGCCUUGAAUGUACAGGGGAGACUCUGUCCGCGAUACAGGGGAUACCCUGUCCGUUCGGCGGUUUGUCGGCGUGCCGCGACCUGGCCAAAUAGGCGGGCGGUCGCGCAGCGUGACAGAUAAGAUAGUAUCAGAGCAUAAAAAGAAUAUAAAAAUAAUAAUAGAAAUGGUUUAGUUGGACCUAGGAGA
rnacentral:lncRNA from 1 species